rnacentral:rRNA from 1 species
UGGGGAAUAUUGCACAAUGGGCGCAAGCCUGAUGCAGCCAUGCCGCGUGUGUGAAGAAGGCCUUCGGUUGUAAAGGCACUUUCAGCGAGGAGGAAGGUGGUGAGCUUAAUACGCUCAUCAAUUGACGUUACUCGCAGAAGAAGCACCGGCUAACUCCGUGCCAGCAGCCGCGGUAAUACGGAGGGUGCAAGCGUUAAUCGGAAUUACUGGGCGUAAAGCGCACGCAGCGGUUUGUUAAGUCAGAUGUGAAAUCCCCGGGCUCAACCUGGGAACUGCAUUUGAAACUGGCAAGCUAGAGUCUCGUAGAGGGGGGUAGAAUUCCAGGUGUAGCGGUGAAAAUGCGUAGAGAUCUGGAGGAAUACCGGUGGCGAAGGCGGCCCCCCUGGACGAAGACUGACGCUCAGGUGCGAAAAGCGUGGGGAGCAAAACAGGAUUAGAUACCCUGGUAGUCCACGCUGUAAAACGAUGUNGAUUUUGGAGGUUGUGCCCUUGAGGCGUGGCUUCCGGAGCU